GCGGAAGUAGCUCAGUGGUAGAGCGUUGCCUUGCCAAGGCAAAGGCCGAGGGUUCGACCCCCUUCUUCCGCU
rnacentral:tRNA from 1 species